GUGUCAGCAGCCGCGGUAAUACGUAGGGGGCAAGCGUUGUCCGGAAUUAUUGGGCGUAAAGCGCGCGCAGGCGGCCUUGUAAGUCUGUUGUUUAAACUUGGGGCUCAACCCCAAGUCGCAAUGGAAACUGCAAAGCUUGAGUACAGAAGAGGAAAGUGGAAUUCCACGUGUAGCGGUGAAAUGCGUAGAGAUGUGGAGGAACACCAGUGGCGAAGGCGACUUUCUGGGCUGUAACUGACGCUGAGGCGCGAAAGCGUGGGGAGCAAACAGGAUUAGAUACCCUGGUAGUCC
rnacentral:rRNA from 1 species